rnacentral:rRNA from 1 species
GACGAACGCUGGCGGCGUGCUUAACACAUGCAAGUCGAACGGAAAGGCCCUGCUUUUGUGGGGUGCUCGAGUGGCGAACGGGUGAGUAACACGUGAGUAACCUGCCCUUGACUUUGGGAUAACUUCAGGAAACUGGGGCUAAUACCGGAUAGGAGCUCCUGCUGCAUGGUGGGGGUUGGAAAGUUUCGGCGGUUGGGGAUGGACUCGCGGCUUAUCAGCUUGUUGGUGGGGUAGUGGCUUACCAAGGCUUUGACGGGUAGCCGGCCUGAGAGGGUGACCGGCCACAUUGGGACUGAGAUACGGCCCAGACUCCUACGGGAGGCAGCAGUGGGGAAUAUUGCACAAUGGGCGGAAGCCUGAUGCAGCAACGCCGCGUGCGGGAUGACGGCCUUCGGGUUGUAAACCGCUUUCGCCUGUGACGAAGCGUGAGUGGCGGUAAUGGGUAAAGAAGCACCGGCUAGCUACGUG